rnacentral:rRNA from 1 species
UACGUAGGGGGCAAGCGUUAUCCGGAUUUACUGGGUGUAAAGGGAGCGCAGACGGCUGUGCAAGUCUGGAGUGAAAGGCGGGGGCCCAACCCCCGGACUGCUCUGGAAACUGUAAAGCUGGAGUGCAGGAGAGGUAAGCGGAAUUCCUAGUGUAGCGGUGAAAUGCGUAGAUAUUAGGAGGAACACCAGUGGCGAAGGCGGCUUACUGGACUGCAACUGACGUUGAGGCUCGAAAGCGUGGGGAGCAA